CACGUAGGGCGCAAGCGUUGUCCGGAAUUAUUGGGCGUAAAGAGCUCGUAGGCGGUCUGUUGCGUCCGCUGUGAAAACUCGGAGCUUAACCCCGAGCCUGCAGUGGAUACGGGCAGACUAGAGGUAGGUAGGGGAGAAUGGAAUUCCCGGUGUAGCGGUGAAAUGCGCAGAUAUCGGGAGGAACACCGGUGGCAAAGGCGGUUCUCUGGGCCUUACCUGACGCUGAGGAGCGAAAGCGUGGGGAGCGAACAGG
rnacentral:rRNA from 1 species